rnacentral:rRNA from 1 species
CCAAUAGCGUAUAUUAAAGUUGUUGCAGUUAAAAAGCUCGUAGUUGAAUUUCGGGAUCAGUACGUUGGUCGUGCCUUCGGUACGUACUGGCGUUACUGGUUCCUACCUUCUGAGGAACCGUCAUGUCAUUAAUUUGGUGUGGUGGGAAAUCAGGACUGUUACUUUGAAAAAAUUAGAGUGUUUAAAGCAGGCUCGCGCUUGAAUACAUUAGCAUGGAAUAAUGAAAUAGGACGUUCGAUCCUAUUUUGUUGGUUUCUAGGAUUGACGUAAUGAUUAAUAGGGAUAGUUGGGGGCAUUAGUAUUCAAUUGUCAGAGGUGAAAUUCUUGGAUUUAUUGAAGACUAACUACUGCGAAAGCAUUUGCCAAGGAUGUUUUCAUUAAUCAAGAACGAAAGUUAGGGGAUCGAAGACGAUCAGAUACCGCCGUAGUCUUAACCAUAAACUAUGCCGACUAGGGAUCGGAUGAUGUUAUUUUUAAUGACUCAUUCGGCGCCUUACG